CCGGCCCAGAACGCAGGGAGUGGCCGGGCGCUCCCACCCUGACCCGCACAGGGCGGAGACCAGGGGAGGGCUGCUGGGAGUGGGGCGUGGUGGCGCUGCGAGAUGAAACCCCCGGUGUUGAUGAACUUUCCAGCAAAAGCUGUUCCUACCCAGUUUGCAAGGCCCAGUCAGCUUGUACUCUCAGAGGGCCAGCACUCCACUCUGAUGGAAAUCUGCCUGUGAUGCCAGCCUGGGGAGUGCCCUUCACACGUGAUCUCAUCUAAGCCUGGCUUGACAGUAAGAAGAGGAGGAAGAGGAGGAAGCUUAGGAAUCCUCUCUGAAGGGGACAUGGUUCUUGGAGGCCUGAUUUGUAUUGGGGAGAAUCCUGAAACCAAUCACUGAGGGAGCACUACCCUUUAUGAUGGGGAUGGAAAAGCCACAGCAACCCUAUGGCCUCUAGUUUUGGAGAGGGACUCAGCUAAAGACCAAAGGAAGCACCAGAAAGAAGAACUGAAGAGUUUAAUUUGGUUAAACAUAAAUAAAAAUAAAAACAUCUCUAGAAUAUAGAAACUAUCUCUAGAAGUCCGGGUGUUGUGGCUCACACCUGUAAUCCCAGCAUUUUGGGAGGCUAAGGCAGGUGGAUGACCUGAGCUCAGGAAUUUGAGACCAGCCUGGGCAAUAUGGCAAAACUUCGUCUCUGCCAAAAAUACAAAAAAUUAGCCGGGUGUGGUGGUAUGCACCUGUUGUCACAGCUACUCGAGAGGCUGAAGUGGGAGAACUGCUUGAGCCUGGGAGGCAGAGGUUGUAGUGAGCCAAGAUUGCACCACUGCACUCCAACCUGGGUGAAAAAAAUAAAAGAAAAACUAUCUCUAGGGGUGGAGCUCUGGGGAAUGUUUUCUCUGUUCAAAUGUUCUACCAAGCAGAUGUAUUACAGUGGAUGUGAUUGCCUUUAAUUUGCUUGAUUUGCUGGACAUCGUUCAAAGGUCAUCCCCAGGUAUCAGUGGAUGGAUAGGAAGGAGAGUGUGUGCACUGAGGGUGUGGCUGUGGGCCCUGCAGGGGAGGCACCACAGGGAGGGGCUGGCACUCCUAUGGGCUCAGACGCUCAGGUGAGUUGCCCAUUACAUAAGGUGCAUUGCUAGGGCAUUAGCUCAGCCAGGAAGGAACCACUCUGGACUUGUG
rnacentral:lncRNA from 10 species